UUGAUGAUGAUGGCAGAGAGUUAAAGUUGGCACCUAAAGGCGCUUCGCUGGCCAGGCAGUGGCCUGUAGAGGCGCUCCGCUGGCCGAGAGGGCCGGUGCAGGGGUGCUCCGCUGGCCGUGAGGGCCGGAGAGGUGCUCCGCUGGCCGAGAGGGCCGGUGCAGGGGUGCUCCGCUGGCCGUGAGGGCCGGAGAGGUGCUCCGCUGGCCGAGAGAGCCGGUGCAGGGGUGCUCCGCUGGCCGUGAGGGCCGGAGAGGUGCUCCGCUGGCCGAGAGGGC